GAUGAACGCUAGCUACAGGCUUAACACAUGCAAGUCGAGGGGCAGCAUGAGGGUUAGCAAUAACUCUUGAUGGCGACCGGCGCAAGGGUGCGUAACGCGUGAGCAACUUGCCCGUUUCUGGGGAAUAACCGGUGGAAACGCCGACUAAUACCCCAUAGCAUUAAUUUCAGGCAUCUGUUAUCAAUUAAAGAAUUUCGGAAACGGAUAGGCUCGCGUGACAUUAGCUAGAUGGCGGGGUAACGGCCCACCAUGGCUACGAUGUCUAGGGGUUCUGAGAGGAAGGUCCCCCACACUGGAACUGAGACACGGUCCAGACUCCUACGGGAGGCAGCAGUGAGGAAUAUUGGUCAAUGGUCGAGAGACUGAACCAGCCAUGCCGCGUGAAGGUGACGGCCCUAUGGGUCUUAAACUUCUUUUGUAAGGGAGCAAUAAGUCUUACGUGUAGGAUGAUGAGAGUACCUUACGAAUAAGCAUCGGCUAACUCCGUGCCAGCAGCC
rnacentral:rRNA from 1 species